rnacentral:rRNA from 1 species
AGUGAACGCUGGCGGCAGGCCUAAACAUGCAAGUCGAGCGCCCUAGCAAUAGGGAGCGGCGCACGGGUGAGUAACACGUGGGAAUAUGCCUUUUGGUACGGAACAACCUCGGGAAACUGAGGCUAAUACCGUAUGGUCCCUUCGGGGUAAAGAUUUAUCGCCAAAAGAGUAGCCCGCGUUGGAUUAGCUAGUUGGUAAGGUAACGGCUUACCAAGGCGACGAUCCAUAGCUGGUCUGAGAGGACGAUCAGCCACACUGGGACUGAGACACGGCCCAGACUCCUACGGGAGGCAGC